rnacentral:misc_RNA from 1 species
AUCCAAUCGAUGGAGAAGUAAUUCGGGACGCGCUGUUAGUUUGCACGAUGAAAAUGGCAAAGAGGUAAGUAUCACAAUUGCCAUUACAGUAGAAACCACAAGCAUAUUUUGGACCAAAAGUUCCUUUGAGUAGUAUGGCUCUUACUGUUGAGCCAUCACUGAAAUCCACUGAAUGGUCUGCAGAAAUGCUGUUAACCCAAGUUGUAGAAAGAUUUGCAGAUGGAUAAUCAUAAGGUUGGCUACUUAUCAAAUGAAAAGAACAACAAAGAAUUAAAAAGAAAAA